rnacentral:rRNA from 1 species
CCUACGUGAGGCAGCAGUAGGGAAUCUUCCACAAUGGACGAAAGUCUGAUGGAGCAACGCCGCGUGAGUGAAGAAGGGUUUCGGCUCGUAAAGCUCUGUGGGCAGUGAAGAAAGAUAGAGGUAGUAACUGGCCGUUAUUUGACGGUAAUUACUUAGAAAGUCACGGAUAACUACGUGCCAGCAGCCGCGGUAAUACGUAGGUGGCAAGCGUUGUCCGGCGUUAUUGGGCGGAAAGCGAGUGCAGGCGGUUCAAUAAGUAUGAUGUGAAAGCCUUCGGCUCAACCGGAGAAUUGCAUCAGAAACGGUUGAACUUGAGUGCUGAUGAGGAGAGUGGAACUCCAUGUGUAGCGGUGGAAUGCGUAUAUAUAUGGAAGAACACCAGUGGCGAAGGCGGCUCUCUGGUCUGCAACUGACGCUGAGGCUCGAAAGCAUGGGUAGCGAACAGGAUUAGAUACCCCUGUAGUC